rnacentral:rRNA from 1 species
UACGGAGGGGGCUAGCGUUGUUCGGAAUCACUGGGCGUAAAGGGUGCGUAGGCGGGUCUUUAAGUCAGGGGUGAAAUCCUGGAGCUCAACUCCAGAACUGCCUUUGAUACUGAAGAUCUUGAGUUCGGGAGAGGUGAGUGGAACUGCGAGUGUAGAGGUGAAAUUCGUAGAUAUUCGCAAGAACACCAGUGGCGAAGGCGGCUCACUGGCCCGAUACUGACGCUGAGGCACAAAAGCGUGGGGAGCGAACAGG